rnacentral:lncRNA from 10 species
CAAGAGUCCUGUUUUUAAACACUGAGCUGGGUACAGUGGCACCCGCCUGUAGUACCAUUUGUUUGGAAGGCUGAGGUGGGAGGAUCCCUUGAGCCCAGGAGUUCAAGACCAGCCUGAGCAACAUAGUGAGACCCGCAUCUUCGAAAUUAAAAUAAAUAAUGGCCGGGCACGGUGGCUCACGCCUGUAAUCCUAGCACUUUUGGAGACCAAGGUGGGAGGAUCACUUGAGAUCAGGAGUUCAAGACCAGCCUGGGCAACAUAGGGAGGCCCUGUCAUCACAAAAAUUUUUUUUAAAUAAAUGAAGUCUUGAGUUUGAGAUGCCCAUAAGAUUCCCGGGAAUGUGGAGAAUGUAUUUCCAGCAGGCAGGGCUGGAGAUGAAAACUGGGAGUGCUAUGUGCCCUGCCUAGGGAAUGUAGUGCGAGCAAGACCCAAUCUCUGGCCUCAGAGCUCAUUGUCUAGACCUGUCAUCCACUACACAGUCAUCAGACAUGGCUAUCAAGUGCUUGAAAUACACUUUGUCCAAAUCAAAGUGUACUCUGAGUAUCAAAUAACACACUAGAUUUUGAAGACCUAGUAUGAAAAAAGAAUGGAAAAUGCUGAUUUUUAAAUAUUGACUAAAUGUGAAGGGACAAUAUUUUUGAUAUAUUGGGUUAAAUAAAAUAUUAAAAUUUAUUUCACCCAUUUCUUUUUACUUUUCUUACU